rnacentral:rRNA from 1 species
UACGUAGGGUGCAAGCGUUGUCCGGAAUCAUUGGGCGUAAAGAGCGUGUAGGCGGCCCGGUAAGUCCGCCGUGAAAGUCCAGGGCUCAACCCUGGAAUGCCGGUGGAUACUGUCGGGCUAGAGUCCGGAAGGGGCGAGUGGAAUUCCUGGUGUAGCGGUGAGAUGCGCAGAUAUCAGGAGGAACACCAAUUGCGAAGGCAGCUCGCUGGGACGUAACUGACGCUGAGACGCGAAAGCGUGGGGAGCAAACAGG